GCCGGGCAUGGUGGCGCAUGCCUGUAGUCCCAGCUACUCGGGAGGAGGCUGAGGCAGGAGGAUCACUUGAGGCCAGGAGUUCUGGGCUCUAGUGUGCUGUGUGAUUAAGUGUCUACACUAAGUUUGGUGUCCAUACGGCGACCUCCUGGGAGUGGGGGACCACCAGGUUGACUAAGGAGGGGUGAACCGGCCCAGGUCGGAACGCAGCAGGCCAAAACGCCUGUGGUAAUCGGCACUGGCAUCGUGCCUGUGACUAGCAACUGCACUCCAGCCUGGACAACAUAGCAAGACCCCAUCUCU
rnacentral:SRP_RNA from 1 species